rnacentral:rRNA from 1 species
AUGACAGGGAGUACAGUUGGUGGACGCUGCUAUUCUGUAGAUGCCGGAGCCCAGGAUCCAGACGCCACCUUUGACGACGACUGCUACUACCACGAGGGUGCCUACUACUACGUGGAGACCGCUGACGACCAGGAGUGGUUAGGAGGCUCCCAGGCAGGAGGUCUUGCCUUUUCGAUCAAUGUUGCUUUUGUGCUAGCCUUCUUAAGGCAAACUUGUCUAACUUAUGUCUCUACUCAGAAAUUAUUGCUUCCGCUGACUCUUGUGUAUUCAAGCUUAUGUAUUCGAGUCCUCAAGGCCCCUGGCUUGUAA